UGGCCCCCGAGCGCGGGGAGCGCGGCCCAAGCGUCCUCCGCGUCUCCCGGGACAACCUCGGGCGCUGCCCUCUCAGCAGCGGCGGUUAAUUGGAUUCGGGACGGAGGGGGGGCACGGCAGCCUACCGCUGGGGCCAAUCGAAGACCUAGAAAGCCCUAUAUGCAAAUACAUGAGGGCUGGGCGUACCCCAAAUUAGGAGGAGCGAGGGUCGGCUGACGGGUUGUCCGGCAGCCAAUGGGAGCGUGUCUCCUUAAUCUUUUGAGGAGGGGGCCCGCAGGUGUGGUUGCGAGCGGUACGGGCCGCCGAGCGGGGGCAAGACCCGGGCAUAGGAAUCGCGGGUACCAUUCAAGCGGCUCUCAUGUCAUAGAUAGCCUAGAAUCCAGGGGAAGGUAGGUAAGUACGCUGUGGUGACUAGUUCCUUUAGAAGUACGUGGG
rnacentral:lncRNA from 1 species